CCUCAGAAAAAUCCAUAAACUAUAGAGAAAGAAAAAACUGAUCUUAAAGGGCCCACACACAGAUUCACCCAUUCUGGAAACCAACUCAAAAACCCAGAAAGAAAAGUGCAGAAUCCAUUGGUAAAAUAGACUCACUUGCU